UACGUAGGGGCUAGCGUUAUCCGGAAUUACUGGGCGUAAAGGGCGCGUAGGCGGUCUGUUAAGUCUGGCGUUAAAGCCUGGGGCUCAACCCCAGAUCAGCGUUGGAUACUGGCAGGCUAGACGAUUGGAGAGGCGACUGGAAUUACCAGUGUAGCGGUGGAAUGCGUAGAUACUGGUAGGAACACCCAUUGCGAAGGCAGCUCGCUGGACAACACGUGACGCUGAGGCGCGAAAGUGUGGGGAGCAAACCGGAUUAGAUACCCCGGUAGUCCCU
rnacentral:rRNA from 1 species